UACAGAGGGGGCAAGCGUUGUUCGGAAUUACUGGGCGUAAAGGGCGCGUAGGCGGCCCGCUAAGUCGAACGUGAAAUCCCCGAGCUCAACUCGGGAACUGCGUCCGAUACUGGCGGGCUUGAAUCCGGGAGAGGGAUGCGGAAUUCCAGGUGUAGCGGUGAAAUGCGUAGAGAUCGGCAGGAACACCCAGGGGGAAACCAGUCGACUGGGCAUCUACUGACGCUGAGGUGCGAGAGCGUGGGGAGCGAACCGG
rnacentral:rRNA from 1 species